rnacentral:rRNA from 1 species
UACAGAGGUCUCAAGCGUUGUUCGGAUUCAUUGGGCGUAAAGGGUGCGUAGGCGGCGCGGUAAGUCGGGUGUGAAAUCUCGGAGCUUAACUCCGAAACUGCAUUCGAUACUGUCGUGCUUGAGGACUGGAGAGGAGACUGGAAUUCCUGGUGUAGCGGUGAAAUGCGCAGAUAUCAGGAGGAACACCGGUGGCGAAGGCGGGUCUCUGGGCCGAUACUGACGCUGGAGGAGCGAAAAGCCGUGGGGAGCGAACAGG